rnacentral:snRNA from 1 species
GUUGCUAUGCCAGCACAAAAAAAAUUUUAAAUAAAACAGAUAUUAGUAUGGUUCCUGCCUAAGGACAACAUGAAAAUUUGUGAAGGAUUCUCUAUCAUU